rnacentral:lncRNA from 1 species
UAUAUUAAAUAUAGAAUGAAAAGAAUUUAGAAAGCAAAAACAAUGUUUAUAAGUGAACUUUUAAAAUCAGAUGCAGACAUGUAAAUGAAAAUGUUACCAUUGUAUGAGGACCUAUGUUAAUUUUUGCAUAACGUUUGUUUCCAGGGGUUCCUGUUGAGAUUAAAGUAAAUGCAUUUACCAGCAUACAUGUCAUGGAAGACUGACUCUGCACCAUGCUCUGUGACAAAAGGCUUCAAGAUUAAACCGGUUUGCCCUUCUACCGUGAAGGUGAGCAGUGAAGUCUAUUGCCCAGGGAUUGGGGACAUUUGUAUUAAAGAAGGUUUUGGAGUACAGAAGCAGGAAGAUGUGUUGUGGAGAUGCUGUUGGCAGAAACAACUGGCCUUGACUAAACAAACCAAGAGUUCCUACAGGAGCAGAGACAACUGGGUGAAGGCUGACGCCCUUGCACAGGCUUGGGCAGCUCUUCUCCACAUGUCCACGUGGCUCACUUCCUUACCUACUUCAGGGCUCUGCUCACACGUCACCUCCUCAAGAAGGCCUUCCCCAACUACCCUGUCCUCACUCCCACCCCUUACCCCUGCAUUCCUUGUCCCUCUCACUCUGCUGUGGUUUUUCCUACCUGACAUAGAACAGGUUUAUCUCCCUGUUGUCUAGCAGGCUUUUAUCCAGUUCUGCUUUGCUGGACUGUAUGAAGUAAGUCCCAGUUCCUGGGCUUUAUCACUCAGCAUGGGUGGAACACACGAAAAUGGGAUUUUCCUGUUCCCACUACAGCACUUUCUUGUGGAUACCACAUCUCCCCACGUGCAAUAUUCUAUUCCCAUCUCACUCUUACCUUGUGCAGAGCUAUUUUCUCAGAGCGUGAGUCUCCGAACGGAAAAUCUACUGCUUUGUGCCCUGCCUGAGGAUAAGCUUCACCAGAGCAGUCUAUAUUGUUGUUGCUGUUGUUGUUGUUUAUUGCUGUAUUCCUAGCUUCUAGAACAGUGCCUGGCAUGGCACUCAGUGGCAUGAGUAAAUUUAUGAGUAUAUAUAAUGGACAAGUUUGGGAGAAGAUAAUUAGUUUGGAAACGGGAGAGUUUAGUGGGAGAGACAGGGCCCUGACUACUUCAAAAAGCAGCAGUACUAUAAGAGGACAGUUUCUAUUUUUCUGCCUGGUCUAGGACUUGUACUGGUCUUUCAACUUGAAUUCAUGCAGCAAGACAGUGGUGGUGAAAAGAUAAAGGCAUUUCUACCUGGGUAGACAGUUUCUUUUUCUGGAGACAAGAAUUGAGAAGGCCUACCAGAUUCUGGCAGUGAGUUGACUGUACUUGUUUUUAGCAUUGUGAAUUUUUGCCUUCAUAUGAAUUUAAGUAGGGAGUUUAGCAAUGCUGUUUCAGGGUUUCCAUCCAGAUUUUCUGUUUCAAAUUGGACAUCUAUUUGCACCUUUAAUUCGCGUAACAAAUACUUCACAGAGAAUAUAAAGUUGAAUUAUGGGCAGCUCAAUUCAUCCCCCCAAAGGCAAACAAGAGAUGGCAGGUCCAAGUUAUGCCUAUAUUACACAGUAGAGAUUAUUUUAAGUGUUUUGUCAUUGCUUCCAAGUUCACACAAAUGCUUCUUACUAAUUUAUAUUGGUCACAUUCACUAUUCUUAUUUGGUACUCAUUAGUGACUUUGUACUCUCUUAAAGAAAAUAAACCUCCAGAUUAACUAAAACAUUUAAAUAUGAAUUGUACAUAGGCUUUAUUCAUUUAUAAAAUGCAAAGAAAUUAAGAUUAAAAGGAAAACCACAUCAAAACCCAGAGACACAAAUAAAAUGCAUUUAAAUGGCUCUUUGGUAGUUUAUUGAUGCUGAGAUAGUUUUUUUCUCCCCUUGAAAACAUAUAAAAUUUUCUUUUCAUCUUCCCUGAAGCAUAUCCAAAUAAGUUAGUGACUACAUAAUUAAUAUCCAGGUAUUUUGUGAUAUUUGGAUAAUAGGCUUCAACUUCUUCUAAACUUAUUUUAUAUUUCAGACCACACAUUUGCCGUUUGUUGAUAAUGUUUUUGGUUGCAGCCUGAGAUAUUUCCAGGUCUAAAGCCAGGUUCACAUUUUGCUUUGAAGAGACAGAAAUUCCAAACAAAUACAGAUAGUCAGGCCAUAAACUUAAUUAAAAUUUCUGCUUUACUGGAUGUUACAUUAAAUAUGGCCAUAAUGCCAAGAGAAAUACUUGAAAAAUCCAUUUGCAUCCACAUACUGCUGCUUCCACAUAG